rnacentral:rRNA from 1 species
UCCCAUCCCGAACUCAGAAGUGAAACGUAGCAGCGCCGAUGGUAGUGUGGGAGAUCCCAUGUGAGAGUAGGUCAACCCCAGGGC